UACGGAGGGUGCAAGCGUUAUCCGGAUUCACUGGGCUUAAAGGGUGCGUAGGAGGGCAGGUAAGUCAGUGGUGAAAUCUCCAAGCUUAACUUGGAAACUGCCGUUGAUACUAUCUGUCUUGAAUAUUGUGGAGGUGAGCGGAAUAUGUCAUGUAGCGGUGAAAUGCUUAGAUAUGACAUAGAACACCAAUUGCGAAGGCAGCUCACUACACAAUCAUUGACUCUGAGGCACGAAAGCGUGGGGAUCAAACAGG
rnacentral:rRNA from 1 species